UACGGGGGGGGGCAAGCGUUGUUCGGAAUUACUGGGCGUAAAGGGCGCGUAGGCGGUUUGCUAAGUUGAAUGUGAAAACUCUGGGCUUAACCCAGAGCCUGCAUUCAAUACUGGCAGGCUAGAGUUCUGGAGGGGAUAGCGGAAUUCCUGGUGUAGCGGUGAAAUGCGUAGAUAUCAGGAGGAACACCGGUGGCGAAGGCGGCUAUCUGGACAGAGUCUGGACGCUGAGGCGCGAAAGCUAGGGGAGCAAACAGG
rnacentral:rRNA from 1 species